rnacentral:rRNA from 1 species
GGGUUGUGAGGUUAAGCGACUAAGCGUACACGGUGGAUGCCCUGGCAGUCAGAGGCGAUGAAGGACGUGCUAAUCUGCGAAAAGCGUCGGUAAGGUGAUAUGAACCGUUACAGCCGGCGAUGUCCGAAUGGGGAAACCCAGUGCAAUUCGUUGCACUAUCGUUAACUGAAUACAUAGGUUAACGAGGCGAACCGGGGGAACUGAAACAUCUAAGUACCCCGAGGAAAAGAAAUCAACCGAGAUUCCCCCAGUAGCGGCGAGCGAACGGGGAGCAGCCCAGAGUCUGAAUCAGCUUGUGUGUUAGUGGAACGGUCUGGAAAGUCCGACGGUACAGGGUGAUAGUCCCGUACACCAAAAUGCACAGGUUGUGAACUCGAAGAGUAGGGCGGGACACGUGGUAUCCUGUCUGAAUAUGGGGGGACCAUCCUCCAAGGCUAAAUACUCCUGACUGACCGAUAGUGAACCAGUACCGUGAGGGAAAGGCGAAAAGAACCCCGGCGAGGGGAGUGAAAAAGAACCUGAAACCGUGUACGUACAAGCAGUGGGAGCACCUUCGGGUGUGACUGCGUACCUUUUGUAUAAUGGGUCAGCGACUUAUAUUCUGUAGCAAGGUUAACCGUAUAGGGGAGCCGCAGGGAAACCGAGUCUUAACUGGGCGUUAAGUUGCAGGGUAUAGACCCGAAACCCGGUGAUCUAGCCAUGGGCAGGUUGAAGGUUGGGUAACACUAACUGGAGGACCGAACCGACUAAUGUUGAAAAAUUAGCGGAUGACUUGUGGCUGGGGGUGAAAGGCCAAUCAAACCGGGAGAUAGCUGGUUCUCCCCGAAAGCUAUUUAGGUAGCGCCUCGUGAACUCAUCUUCGGGGGUAGAGCACUGUUUCGGCUAGGGGGUCAUCCCGACUUACCAACCCGAUGCAAACUACGAAUACCGAAGAAUGUUAUCACGGGAGACACACGGCGGGUGCUAACGUCCGUCGUGAAGAGGGAAACAACCCAGACCGCCAGCUAAGGUCCCAAAGUCAUGGUUAAGUGGGAAACGAUGUGGGAAGGCACAGACAGCCAGGAUGUUGGCUUAGAAGCAGCCAUCAUUUAAAGAAAGCGUAAUAGCUCACUGGUCGAGUCGGCCUGCGCGGAAGAUGUAACGGGCUAAACCAUGCACCGAAGCUGCGGCAGCGACACUAUGUGUUGUUGGGUAGGGGAGCGUUCUGUAAGCCUGCGAAGGUGUGCUGUGAGGCAUGCUGGAGGUAUCAGAAGUGCGAAUGCUGACAUAAGUAACGAUAAAGCGGGUGAAAAGCCCGCUCGCCGGAAGACCAAGGGUUCCUGUCCAACGUUAAUCGGGGCAGGGUGAGUCGACCCUAAGGCGAGGCCGAAAGGCGUAGUCGAUGGGAAACAGGUUAAUAUUCCUGUACUUGGUGUUACUGCGGGGGGGACGGAGAAGGCUAUGUUAGCCGGGCGACGGUUGUCCCGGUUUAAGCAUGUAGGCUGGUUAUCCAGGCAAAUCCGGAUAAUCAAGGCUGAGGUGUGAUGACGAGGCACUACGGUGCUGAAGUAACAAAUGCCCUGCUUCCAGGAAAAGCCUCUAAGCAUCAGGUAACAUCAAAUCGUACCCCAAACCGACACAGGUGGUCAGGUAGAGAAUACCAAGGCGCUUGAGAGAACUCGGGUGAAGGAACUAGGCAAAAUGGUGCCGUAACUUCGGGAGAAGGCACGCUGGUGUGUAGGUGAAGUCCCUGCGGAUGGAGCUGAGACCAGUCGAAGAUACCAGCUGGCUGCAACUGUUUAUUAAAAACACAGCACUGUGCAAACACGAAAGUGGACGUAUACGGUGUGACGCCUGCCCGGUGCCGGAAGGUUAAUUGAUGGGGUUAUCCGUAAGGAGAAGCUCUUGAUCGAAGCCCCGGUAAACGGCGGCCGUAACUAUAACGGUCCUAAGGUAGCGAAAUUCCUUGUCGGGUAAGUUCCGACCUGCACGAAUGGCGUAAUGAUGGCCAGGCUGUCUCCACCCGAGACUCAGUGAAAUUGAACUCGCUGUGAAGAUGCAGUGUACCCGCGGCAAGACGGAAAGACCCCGUGAACCUUUACUAUAGCUUGACACUGAACAUUGAGCCUUGAUGUGUAGGAUAGGUGGGAGGCUUUGAAGCGUGGACGCCAGUCUGCGUGGAGCCAACCUUGAAAUACCACCCUUUAAUGUUUGAUGUUCUAACGUUGGCCCCUGACCGGGGUUGCGGACAGUGUCUGGUGGGUAGUUUGACUGGGGCGGUCUCCUCCCAAAGCGUAACGGAGGAGCACGAAGGUUAGCUAAUCGGUCGGACAUCAGGAGGUUAGUGCAAUGGCAUAAGCUAGCUUGACUGCGAGCGUGACGGCGCGAGCAGGUGCGAAAGCAGGUCAUAGUGAUCCGGUGGUUCUGAAUGGAAGGGCCAUCGCUCAACGGAUAAAAGGUACUCCGGGGAUAACAGGCUGAUACCGCCCAAGAGUUCAUAUCGACGGCGGUGUUUGGCACCUCGAUGUCGGCUCAUCACAUCCUGGGGCUGAAGUAGGUCCCAAGGGUAUGGCUGUUCGCCAUUUAAAGUGGUACGCGAGCUGGGUUUAGAACGUCGUGAGACAGUUCGGUCCCUAUCUGCCGUGGGCGCUGGAGAAUUGAGGGGGGCUGCUCCUAGUACGAGAGGACCGGAGUGGACGCAUCACUGGUGUUCGGGUUGUCAUGCCAAUGGCACUGCCCGGUAGCUAAAUGCGGAAGAGAUAAGUGCUGAAAGCAUCUAAGCACGAAACUUGCCCCGAGAUGAGUUCUCCCUGAGACUAUAAGUCUCCUGAAGGAACGUUAAAGACGAUGACGUUGAUAGGCCGGGUGUGUAAGCGCAGCGAUGCGUUGAGCUAACCGGUACUAAUGAACCGUGAGGCUUAACCUUACAACGCCGAAG